UUACCCACUUUUUAUGAUAAACUCAAUUCUCUUCUUCCGAUCAGAAUCUUCGUUCUUUUUAUGAUAAAUCUAAUCCCUGUUGGACUUUAAAGCAAAUUACCCACUUCGCCAAAUCACUUCUUUUUUUCCGCUUUUUGGUGCUUUCUUUCUAGCAGGUAUUCAUGGCUUCCAUUACAGCAAGUUUGCCUCCGCCGUUGUUCUUGCAAGCGAGAAAAACCCUUUUCAGGACUCUUCGGAAACCUCCAGUUUCUUCUAUAAGAGCAGGGAGACAAAACUGUGCUUUUGUUGUAAAGGCUACAGGGGAAAGCUCUGAGUCUUCCACUUCACUUAGUAUUGUCAAGUCCGUUCAAAAUGUUUGGGAUAAAUCUGAUGAAGAUAGGGUAGGUCUCAUUGGACUGGGAUUUGCAGCUAUAGUGGCCCUGUGGGCAUCAGCAAAUUUGGUUUCGGCUGUUGACAAAUUGCCCCUUAUCCCAAAUGUGCUAGAAGUUAUUGGAAUACUGUUUUCAUUGUGGUUUAUAUAUCGAUAUCUCUUGUUCAAACCUGAUCGGUAAGUAGAAUUCUUUGACUGCAGAGAUUGGUUGAUGGUGAAACCUGUAGAUGUCGCUUGUACAUGAGAUAUUGUUCUCCUACUUCGAAGAAGAGAACACUAUAGGGAAGAACUGUUCCAAAUCAUCAAGAAGUCAUUAUCCGAAAUUUUGGAACAGUGAAUUCUGCUGCCAAACCGUAUUUACAGUAGCGGAGGGUGUAAUUUCUGAACAUAACAGAUAGCCAACCCCUCAGUUGGUUUAUGGUUUGUGUUGUCAUAAUUGAAAUAUGGUGGCAUCUUCAUGGCGUAAUCUUUUUGUAUUGGUGUGAAGUGUGAUGUCCAGAGUUACUAUCCAUGGAAACAACCAAAGCGUAUGUGUGUAGAUGUCAUGGGCAGGUCACAGCGUCACUGUUUCCCCAUGGUGCCGUAUGAAAAAUUUGGACUCAAGUUCAAUUUUUCUUUUGCUUGUGGGUGUGGUUGUAACUUUUGUUCGCAUGUUUGGUUUGGGUUUUUUGUUAGUUUAAAAGUUAUUAUGAUGUUUUUACUGAAAGUAAUAGUUUUUAGAAUUAACCUAAAAUUGUUUGAUAAA